GAGGUAGCAGCUCUCACCAGCCAGUUACGGUGUACCAGGCACUGGUGCUUGUCAAGGGGCCUUGGAUGGUAGAUAUGGUGCCUGAUCAGCUGGUUUUCAACAUUUUCUACUCUAGCCUGGAGCACUGUGUUCUUCCUCCCUGCCUUCUCCAACCCUGUGUCAAGUCAAAGCUCUGUCUAAAGGGCCAAUUCAUAUUCCAGGAAGUCUCACAUUAACUGUGAUCGAAGCAAGAGCUUUUGGUACUUCCACAGAUGGAAAAAAAAUACAGCAAUUCCAAUGGGAUUCCCUGUCUCUGUGCCCACAUCCUCAGCUCAGCCGUGCACUCGGGAAGCCAGGGUGAGUGUUGGGAGCAAGAGGUCACACUCCAUCCUGGCUGCUCCCUUUGCAGCAGGACACUGAGCAGGGAGGUAAGACAGAUGAGUAGCAACUCCCUCAUGCCUUACCUGACUCCCUCAUGCCUUGCCUUCCCCCACUCCCCAGGUUUUUCUGUUUAUUAGUAUGGUCAGAGACUUGAGUUUAGGAAUAGAGGGGUAGGACUUUUGCACAAACAGAAAUAAAACCAAACAUGAAUUCUGUGGGGAGUGCA
rnacentral:lncRNA from 1 species